rnacentral:rRNA from 1 species
UUGGGGGGGUGCCUAAUACAUGCAAGUCGAGCGGUAACAGGAGAAAGCUUGCUUUCUUGCUGACGAGCGGCGGACGGGUGAGUAAUGUAUGGGGAUCUGCCCGAUAGAGGGGGAUAACUACUGGAAACGGUGGCUAAUACCGCAUAAUGUCUACGGACCAAAGCAGGGGCUCUUCGGACCUUGCACUAUCGGAUGAACCCAUAUGGGAUUAGCUAGUAGGUGGGGUAAAGGCUCACCUAGGCGACGAUCUCUAGCUGGUCUGAGAGGAUGAUCAGCCACACUGGGACUGAGACACGGUCCAGACUCCUACGGGA